rnacentral:rRNA from 1 species
UACAUAGGGGGCGAGCGUUAUCCGGAAUUAUUGGGCGUAAAGGGUGCGUAGGCGGCUAUUUAAGUUUGAGGUGUAAGUGCAGUGCUCAACGCUGUGAUGCUUCAAAAACUGGGUGGCUAGAGUGAGAUAGAGGCAAGUGGAAUUCCAUGUGUAGCGGUAAAAUGCGUAAAUAUAUGGAGGAACACCAGUGGCGAAGGCGGCUUGCUGGAUCUUAACUGACGCUGAGGCACGAAAGCGUGGGGAGCAAACA